GCCCGUUCUGGUGCAGUCACAUUCAUAUCUGUCCAGGCCAUAUCGAACACAGAUCCCUUGGUUUUGACAAGGGUAAUAGCAACAAGGAUUCGCAGUGUUUGAUGAAGUCGGGCUUUCUUCACCAGCACAAAAGGACACACUCAGCAGCAAAAUCACCGUCCACUUCAGCAAAAAGUUACACUCUCUCAUUGUAGUUUUGAACACAAAAAUAAUUAUG
rnacentral:misc_RNA from 1 species